rnacentral:tRNA from 1 species
AGCUCAGUUGGAUAGAGCAACGGCCUUCUAAGCCGUGGGUCGCAGGUUCGAAUCCUGUC